rnacentral:miRNA from 1 species
CGGCUCAUCGUGUGGCAGUUUGCU